rnacentral:rRNA from 1 species
GAUGAACGCUGGCGGCGUGCCUAAUACAUGCAAGUCGAGCGGACAGAUGAGGAGCUUGCUCCUCUGACGUUAGCGGCGGACGGGUGAGUAACACGUGGAUAACCUACCUAUAAGACUGGGCUAACUUCGGGAAACCGGAUCUACUACCGGAUCAUAUAUCCAACCGCAUGGUUCAAUAGUGAAAGACGCCUUUGCUGUCAGUUAGAGCUGGAUCCGCGCCGCAUUAGCUAGUUGGUAAGGUAACGGCUGACCAAGGCAACGAUUCGUAGCCGACCUGAGAGGGUGAUCGGCCACACUGGAACUGAGACACGGUCCAGACUCCUACGGGAGGCAGCAGUAGGGAAUCUUCCGCAAUGGGCGCAAGCCUGACGGAGCAACGCCGCGUGAGUGAUGAAGGCCUUCGGAUCGUAAAACUCUGUUAUUAGGGAAGAACAAAUGUGUAAGUAACUAUGCACGUCUUGACGGUACCUAAUCAGAAAGCCACGGCUAACUACGUG